CUGUCAUGCUGCCAAGCCCCUUCCUUCUCUCACUACCUCUGGUCCCCCCAAAACGGCAGCUCUCCAGGCCAGGUCACAUUGUCUCAGAGCUGAGGGGAGAUGACGUCAACUCCCAGGCAUUUCUGGUUCUCCAUCUGGACAAGGAGGCUGCAGCAGCUCGAGAACACACCUCUGAAGAAAAUCUCAGAGUCAGCCCUUAACAGCAAAACAAUAAUCAAGGUCAUAGCCAUACCGACACAACCAAAGGUGGAUUAUUGCCGUGUGGUGAAGCCGAGGGUUCCUGGUGUGAGUGAUCCCGGGAGUCCGUUCCCACGAAACCUGGAAUAUUGGGCUUUCCAAAAGAAGGCCUUGGUUCUACCAUGAAUACUUCCUUUGUGCCUGGUCUUUUGUGUGUCCUUGGCACCCAGAAGAGGGCUGGGCACAGAAGAUGUGUUUCGACCAGAGAAUGAAUAAAAAGCACAUGCUUCUCUCUACA
rnacentral:lncRNA from 1 species